UGUUUUUAACUUUAAUGGACAAAUAAACACAUCACAAAAUUUUGACAGUAACUGCUUUUAAAACCACAAAUUUAUGAAUAUGCAACUAGUGCUAGCUAUAUAUUGUUACACUUCUCAAAAUUUUAACUGUAACUCAGUGCUUUUAAAACUACAUGAAAUUUAUGAAUAUAAAAAAUGUCAAAUGCUAUAUAUCAGGGCUGCAAAUUACUGUCGGACAUCGGACAAUGUCCGACUAAAUUUGGCAAAUGUCCGAGCAAAAGUAAUUUUGAUCGGACAUUGGUCCGAUCAUAAAAAAAUUGUCACAUUGUACAUUUUUUGCUGUGACAAAAUCCGAUUGCAAAUUCACUCAAUCUGAAUUUUGCAAUAAAAUUUACGAGGCAUUCUAGCAUUUUACUUAAAAUUGCGCCGGAUUGGCUAAACGUACUUGUCUUGUGACGUAUAUAUAUGUGCGACCAAAUUUAGUGGUGUUGGUUUUUGUCCGACUAAAUUCAAGUUAUGUCCGACCAAAAUUAAAAGUGAUCGGACAAAUGUCCUGUCAAGUCAAAUAUUUAUUUGCAGCCCUGAAUAUAUUGUUACUUAAUUGUAUUGCCAGUUCAACGUCUGUAUCUCGUGACCUGGGGCUGGUUCAACACAUACUGUACGAAGGUCAAAUAGCGCUAUCCAGCGGAUAGUGAUUUUUCCAGGUUUUUAAAAUUGUCCGUUGAUUUGGUAGAACUCAGCUUGAACUCUAGUAUUUGUAAAUUAAACUUUUUUUAUUCAUUGUGAGGCCCACAUCCGUAGUUUUACAGCUUUUCACGAAUUUUUACAAGGGUUGAAAAAUCACUGUCCGUGGGAGAUAGCGCUACUGUAUCUGGUCUUCGUGCAACCGUCCCUUGCCCUUGAAUUAGGCUAGCUGUUCCUUGAAAAUCUUAAUAAGUGUUCAAAUCUGCCUCUCAGAAGCAGAAUUAAGUAAAAUUUAGUGAUGCACCGAUAUGGAAGUUCACCGAUAUUCCGAUAACCGAUAUUGAAGGACCGAUAUUUUGCCGAUACCGAUAUUGUAUGUCAUUUCACAAAAUUCAAAGAUGUCAUCAUGACAGUUCUACUUUAAUACUUUUGAAUUUAAUUCAAUUAAUUUGUUUCUAAAUACUGAAAAUAUCAAAUGAAAUGCUGCAAAUGCAUGCAACAAACUAGUAUAUUGUAUUGUGUUUCCACUUUUAGAUUUUGAUUUUCAAU